rnacentral:lncRNA from 1 species
UGGCGACUACGUGCGACUAGGCGGAGCCGCGGGACCCCCUCCCCCACCCGCCCGCCCGCCCAGCAGCAGCAGAAGCAGCAGCAGCAGCAGCACGCGGGCUCGCGAGCUCGGCCCCCGCACCUCCCCCACCGCCCAGACAAAGCCGCCGCCGCCGCCGCCAUCCGCCCGCCCGCCGCCCUCCGCGUCGGCCCUGCCCGGAGGCCACGCCGGGCGAGCGGGACAAAGAGCGCGCCGCGGCGCGGGGCCCGCGACCUCACGCGCCGAAGGGCGGCCGAGCCGGCCCCGCUGCUCUUCCUCCCGGCCCCGGCCCCCGCUCCUUCCCGGCCCCGGGCCCGCCCCGCUCUCCCGCGUCCCCGGCGCCGCCGCAGAGGCGCCCGCGGGAAAUGGCGGCGGCGGUGGGGGAGGGGCGGAGGCCGGCAACGUCCCCGCGCCGCGGGCCCAGCGUCUCCGGGCGCCCCGUCCUCCCCUGACGGCCGAGCGCGGGCCCCCGGGGCCCCCGCUCCCCGCUCCCCACCGCGCAGGACGCGCCGCCCGCCCGGCCCGCUCACCGCGCGAGUCCGCCGUUGCCUCCGGCCGCGCCGCCGCCGACAGUCGGAGACUGCGAGAGCCAGGGCGAGGGCCCCCCCCUCCCGCCAGCGUCGCGCCCCAUUGGCUGCCGGCGGCGGCGGCGGCGAGGCCCAGCGAUUGGCCCGCGGCCGCGUCAAUGACGGCGCCGGCGACCCCGCCUCCCGCCGGCGACUCCCUUCGGGCCGUCAGGCCGCGGGCCGAGAGCCCGGGCUUGGGGCCGCCCCGAGCCGCCGUCCCCGCCGCCCGGGCCGCAGCCCACCCGAGGCCCGGGCGCCCCGAUACCUGCAGGCCGCACCCGGGCGCGAGACGAGCACGACGGUCGGCGACGUCCGUGCAGCGGGGAAACAGAGGAUAAUGGCGUCUGCAGCGCGGUGGCCGGGAGCGCCCUCCUCCUCUCGCUCUCUCGCGUUCGCGCACUCUGGAGCGAGCGAGCGAGCCAGCGAGGGGGAGGGGAGCGCGCACGCCGCUCUCGCGAGACCUGAGGCGCCCGCUCUCGCGCGUCGGAACGGGGCGGCUCAAGGGUCUCUGCGAGCCCCGGGGAGCCCUGCGGCCUGGAGCCGGGACCCCCGUGCGCGGCCCGAGCCCCGCCGCUCGCGCGGACACGGUGGAGGCUUCGCCUGA